rnacentral:rRNA from 1 species
UACGUAGGGGGCGAGCGUUGUCCGGAUUCAUUGGGCGUAAAGAGCUCGUAGGCGGUUCGGUAAGUCAGGUGUGAAAACUCCAGGCUCAACUUGGAGACGCCACCUGAUACUGUCGUGACUAGAGUCCGGUAGGGGAGCAUGGAAUUCCUGGUGUAGCGGUGAAAUGCGCGGAUAUCAGGAGGAACACCGAUGGCGAAGGCAGGUCUCUGGGCAUUAACUGACGCUGAGGAGCGAAAGCAUGGGGAGCGAACAGG